CCUACGGGAGACAGCAGUGAGGAAUAUUGGUCAAUGGACGAGAGUCUGAACCAGCCAAGUAGCGUGAAGGAUGACUGCCCUAUGGGUUGUAAACUUCUUUUAUAAAGGAAUAAAACGAGGCACGUGUGCCUUUUUGCAUGUACUUUAUGAAUAAGGAUCGGCUAACUCCGUGCCAGCAGCCGCGGUAAUACGGAGGAUCCGAGCGUUAUCCGGAUGUAUUGGGUUUAAAGGGAGCGUAGAUGGGUUGUUAAGUCAGUUGUGAAAGUUUGCGGCUCAACCGUAAAAUUGCAAUUGAUACUGGCAGUCUUGAGUACAGUUGAGGUAGGCGGAAUUCGUGGUGUAGCGGUGAAAUGCUUAGAUAUCACGAAGAACCCCGAUUGCGAAGGCAGCUUACUAAACUGUGACUGACAUUGAUGCUCGAAAGUGUGGGUAUCAAACAGGAUUAGAUACCCUUGUAGUC
rnacentral:rRNA from 1 species